rnacentral:rRNA from 1 species
GAUGAACGCUAGCGGCAGGCCUAACACAUGCAAGUCGAGGGGUAGAGCACUUCGGUGUUUGAGACCGGCGCACGGGUGCGUAACGCGUAUGCAAUCUGCCUUACACUAAGGGAUAGCCCAGAGAAAUUUGGAUUAAUACCUUAUAGUAUAUUGCUGUGGCAUCACAUUAUUAUUAAAGAUUUAUCGGUGUAAGCUGAGCAUGCGUCCCAUUAGCUAGUUGGUAGGGUAACGGCAUACCAAGGCAAUGAUGGGUAGGGGUCCUGAGAGGGAGAUCCCCCACACUGGUACUGAGACACGGACCAGACUCCUACGGGAGGCAGCAGUGAGGAAUAUUGGACAAUGGGCGCAAGCCUGAUCCAGCCAUGCCGCGUGCAGGAUGAAGCAUCUAUGGUGUGUAAACUGCUUUUGUACGGGAAGAAACACCUCUUCGUGAAAAGGCUUGACGGUACCGUAAGAAUAAGGACCGGCUAACUUCGUGCCAGCCGCCGCCGUAAGAC